rnacentral:rRNA from 1 species
CAGCCGCCACGGUAAAACGGAGGGUGCAAGCGUUAAUCGGAAUUACUGGGCGUAAAGCGCACGCAGGCGGUCUGACAAGUCAGAUGUGAAAUCCCCGGGCUUAACCUGGGAACUGCAUUUGAAACUGUCAGGCUGGAGUCUUGUAGAGGGGGGUAGAAUUCCAGGUGUAGCGGUGAAAUGCGUAGAGAUCUGGAGGAAUACCGGUGGCGAAGGCGGCCCCCUGGACAAAGACUGACGCUCAGGUGCGAAAGCGUGGGGAGCAAACAGGAUUAGAUACCCCUGUAGUCCCUGUCUCUUAUAC